UAGAUGAGAACACAUGCAGAAGACAGUAUAUGCUUGCGAGUUGUUUACAGGUUUCUUUGAAGAUGAGGGGUGACUGGAUAGUGUUUCUCAUUCCAUUAUUAUGUACAGAAAUAACAUCUUUUGAAUGGACAUCCGACUUCCAAGAUGGCGCUGAUGUAUAUGCGUGCGAAGGAGACAACAUCACCUUACCCUGGGGUUAUACUCUACAAGAUGGAGAGACGGUUGAGGACGUUAAGUGGUACUAUGACCAACAUGGCAGGUCCUGUAGGUAUUGCUGUCACCGUGGAAGGCCAGUUUUUCCAACUACCGACGCCGUUUUCUAACAGGAUACAUCAAGUUGGGAGGCAGGACUUGCACUGACGUCUCUCACCGCACUCGAGACAGGGGAACUACUCAGUGAGAGUUACCGUUCUUAGUGGGUCAACGUUUGCUACCUAUAACCGUACAGCGUCUUUGAUACUAGUGGAAGACGAACUGGAUAACCAAAGGGAGGCUCUGUCGGCACAGCUAGAGCCUGAGACGGUUUACGACAACAAGACUUCUCAGUUGCACGUGCAGCUCACCUGUGGAGGUUACGUCAUCACUGGUCCGCCUCCAGUUUAUGUCGAAUGGACAUUCCCUUCUGGCAAGACAGAACUUGUUUCAACGCACGUUAACGGUACGUUCGUGCUUACCUUGCCUAACCCAGUAGAGGGAGGUAACUACACGUGUCGUCUGGGGUCCAGGUUACCUCCCUUGUCAUGCUUAUCCAAAAUGGCAGCACACUUGGAAGCGCUUCGGUGUUUGUAGAUGAGGUGAAAAUGAGGCUUGUCAUUGCUGGAAAGCGGACACGAGUUGAUUAGAACAGAGAAACAAGGUCUACAGGCAGAAAUCGACUUGCUGAAAGAGGAAAACAGAAAACUCAGUGACAUCGCCGGCAGCCAUCAAACGUACCUUCAA